rnacentral:rRNA from 1 species
AACAGGAUUAGAUACCCUGGUAGUCCACGCCGUAAACGAUGUCGACUUGGAGGUUGUGCCCUUGAGGCGUGGCUUCCGGAGCUAACGCGUUAAGUCGACCGCCUGGGGAGUACGGCCGCAAGGUUAAAACUCAAAUGAAUUGACGGGGGCCCGCACAAGCGGUGGAGCAUGUGGUUUAAUUCGAUGCAACGCGAAGAACCUUACCUACUCUUGACAUCCAGAGAACUUAGCAGAGAUGCUUUGGUGCCUUCGGGAACUCUGAGACAGGUGCUGCAUGGCUGUCGUCAGCUCGUGUUGUGAAAUGUUGGGUUAAGUCCCGCAACGAGCGCAACCCUUAUCCUUUGUUGCCAGCGGUUCGGCCGGGAACUCAAAGGAGACUGCCAGUGAUAAACUGGAGGAAGGUGGGGAUGACGUCAAGUCAUCAUGGCCCUUACGAGUAGGGCUACACACGUGCUACAAUGGCAUAUACAAAGAGAAGCGACCUCGCGAGAGCAAGCGGACCUCAUAAAGUAUGUCGUAGUCCGGAUUGGAGUCUGCAACUCGACUCCAUGAAGUCGGGAUCGCUAGUAAUCGUGGAUCAGAAUGCCACGGUGAAUACGUUCCCGGGCCUUGUACACACCGCCCGUCACGCCAUGGGAGUGGGUUGCAAAAGAAGUAGGUAGCUUAACCUUCGGGAGGGCGCUUACCACUUUGUGAUUCAUGACUGGGGUGAAGUCGUAACAAGGUAACC